UCCCGUGCAGUCACAGGAGGCAGCUCC
rnacentral:piRNA from 1 species